rnacentral:rRNA from 1 species
AUUGAACGCUGGCGGCAGGCCUAACACAUGCAAGUCGAACGAGUGGCGGACGGGUGAGUAAUGUCUGGGAAACUGCCUGAUGGAGGGGGAUAACUACUGGAAACGGUAGCUAAUACCGCAUACCAUCAGAUGUGCCCAGCUGGGAUUAGGUAGUUGGUGGGGUAACGGCUCACAAAGGGGACGAUCCCUAGCUGGUCUGAGAGGAUGACCAGCCAAACUGGACCUGGGACACGGUCCGGAGUCCUACGGUGGGCAGCAGUGGGGAAUAUUGCACAAUGGGCGCAAGCCUGAUGCAGCCAUGCGGGGUGUAUGAAGAAGGCCUUCGGGUUGUAAAGUACUUUCAGCGGGGAGGCGUUACCCGCAGAAGAAGCACCGGCUAACUCCGUGCCAGCAGCCGCGGUAAUAC